AUCGCUUCUCGGCCUUUUGGCUAAGAUCAUGUGAAGUAUCUGUUCUUAUCAGUUUAAUAUCUGAUAUGUCCUCUAUUUAGGUGCCGAGGUGGUGCAGUGGUUAAAUGCAGGCUACUUCAGCUGACUGCAGUUCUGCAGUUCGGCUGUUCAAAUCCCACCAGCUCAGGGUUGACUCAGCCUUCCAUC